AGAUUGAACGCUGGCGGCAGGCCUAACACAUGCAAGUCGAGCGGUAGAGAGGUGCUUGCACCUCUUGAGAGCGGCGGACGGGUGAGUAAUGCCUAGGAAUCUGCCUAGUGGUGGGGGAUAACGUUCGGAAACGGACGCUAAUACCGCAUACGUCCUACGGGAGAAAGCGGGGGACCUUCGGGCCUCGCGCCAUUAGAUGAGCCGUAGGUCGGAUUAGCUAGUUGGUGAGGUAAUGCUCGCCGAAGGCGACGUAUCCGUAACUCGGUCUGAGGAGGAUGAUCAGUCACACGUGGAACUGACGACACGGUCCAGACCUCCGUAACGGG
rnacentral:rRNA from 1 species